rnacentral:lncRNA from 1 species
AUAUCACUACAACAGAAUUAGGUUAUAGGGACACAUGUUUGGGACACUUUUGAGUAAGUGUCCCAUUUAUGCUAAAACUUAAAAAAACAUCUACUAAUGCCUAAAUAUAAAGCCCAAUCCAACCAAAAAUAAAAGAUUACUCUACUCAACCCACCACACCCAGUCCAUUUGGCCCGAUUACAAACAAAAAAAAAAAAAAAAAGAAAAAUCAAUUACCAUCUUUUCUUCUCUCUUCACUCAAUCUACUGAAAUUCUAGACGAAGAGCCUUUCCUGUCGUCCUCCUCCGCCACCGCAGCCAAUGAGAUAGAGUUUCGGCGGUUGUUAAAUGCUUAAAUAAGUGUUGGUAAAUUAGCAGCACUCUUUUAGGUUAUAGCGACACUCUUUAACUGUCACAAUAUACCUAGCGACCCCACAUAUAGCAGCACUUUUUAAAAGUGUCGGUAAUUUUAGCUAGCAGCACUUUUUUGACAUAUACCUACAUUUAAAAGUGUCGCU